UUUCUAGGAAACAAGGGAUGGCCUUUUGAAUAUAAUAAUGGAAAGUAAGCAUGACUUAAAUGACACGGGAGACAUGCAUGCUUUAGGGUAUGGAGUGAUUAAAGUGUUAAGAACUCUUGGGGUAAUGAUUUAGCUUUAUGAAAGCUUUCAUACUUUCAUUUUUUGGUAGAAAAACCGUAGAUUCUCCUCCCUCCCUCAUUCAUUGUUCUUCCAAAGUGUUAGAAGAAGUUACUUGCUCUUUUUGAGUCAAAUUUUUGUUUUGGAUUAAAGCUUAAGAGUUUUGACUAACAUCUCUUCAGGUUGGUUCACUGUCGGUAUCUCAAAGGUUCCACAUUCUUCAUAAACUUGCUAGCCUCCCCUUGAGGAUCCAAAUACAAUAAAGGUUGUUUAUUAUUUUACUCUUCUAUGGUUGGUGUUUUCUUUCCAUUACUUGUAAGAAUAUCCUUUGUAGGUUGUAAUUUGUUAUGAAGUUCAAAAUUUUUAAGACUUCUGUUGCAAAUAUUAUGAGUUUUUUAGAAACUAAUUUUUAACAAAACCCACAUUGCAAUCACAAAAAAACAUUCAUGUUAUGUCAAAGUAUGUUGCUAUAUUUGUCUUACAACAACAAACAAACAUUCAUUCAUUAAUGUCAUUACUUGGUCUUUUUAGGACACACUAACAAACUUAACAAGACCACAACAAACAUGAAAGAAAGACAUCUAACCCUAACAAACAUACUCCAUAAACAAAACAUAACACUUUUAAUCGAAGUCAAUUGGUUUGGAUGAUGUAUCUCCUUCAUCGUUUUUGCCCUCAAUCAUUUUUUCCAACUUUUUCUAUAUUAUCCUCUCUGAGUUUUUCCUUAACUUGACUGUACGUUGUUAUUAACCAUUCUUCUUAUUCACAACACUUCCACCCCACCUUCACCUUUUCCCUUUCUGACACCACUUCCACUUCCACCUUCACCUUCACCCUUUCCCUUUUUCACACCAUUUCCCUUUUGAGCUUGACCAUUCCCUUUAUUCAAAGCACUUCCACCUUCAUCUUCAGCCUUCCUCGUUUUACCUAACUUUUUUAGGGCUUUGACACUACAUCACAUGUUUAGUUGUUGUGCCCUACCUUUUUACAAACACCACAUACAAUCCUUUUUCCUGACUUUGAUACUCUUUGUGAUCCAUUAACCUCUACACUAUCCCUUUUUCUCUUUAUAGUGGGUCUCCCUGGUAUCUUCCUUUUCAAUGGUGGCAAUUGUGCUAUGGAGUCUAUUGGGAGCCUCAUUGCACUCUGUCACACCCCAAAACCAAGAACGGCGGAAACGUUCUGGGGCGGAGGACGUCAUGUAAAGUAUCACAACACAGUAAACGUAAAUAAGCAAAAAACAUCAUCCAUUGCAUUAAAUAUAUAAUUUUAAUACAAGCGUGUUCUGUACACUUUUAGACACCAAAAAUAUAAUGUAAAUCAAAAUAAUAAGAUGAGUCUUGGAUGCGCUCCAUCUUCUCAAAAGCUGGCCUCGGUACCUGUCUACUGAUGACCUGAGAAUACAAGUUAUUUUGAAAGAGUUUAACAGCAUUAAGCUGGUGAGUUCAUAAGUAUUUUAGUGUCGAUGUUUGUUAUCAAAACGUUUGAACAUGUCUCAAGUGUAACUUUGAAAAUGUAAGUAAAUGUUUGUAAGUGUUUGUACAAGUUUGAAUCUCUCAGAAAAACCUAUAUUUUCUAUUAAAGUAGCCUUCUACCAAGGCUUAACUGUUUUGUAUUGUCAUUUGUUGUAAAAGUGUGUAAUUUCCCAAGUGUAACUAUAAUUUAACAAAUAUAGUUUCUACAUUAAUGUUUAAGUGAAAUAAUCACUAAAAAUAUGUAAUGGGUAAAUCAUUGUAGUAAUGUAGUGUUGUAUUAUAGGAACUACUGCUGUACUAACUACCUUAAACCGGAUUUAUAUUAAGGUAUCAUGUGACUAAUUGCACCAUACUAUCGACUGGUAACAACGACAUACGAAUGGUCGUAAUAACGGAAUAACGUUUGGCACCCGCAGACCUGUAGGUCCUGCUGUAGCUAGCAGCAAGGUGUAGGAUAGUCAAUCCAGUAUAGAUCUAUACGCAAACUCACACUCUCCCUCCAAGAGAAUUCUGGCUACAACUCGGGCCAUGACAUUUAAGGCAUGCUCCGAUACAGUGGAUCACAGUUGUUAACGUAUUGUUGUACAUGUAGUGUAAUGUUUCUCGUCUAGUAUAGUUGUAUAUGUUCUCCUCCUAGUAUAGUUGUAUAUGUUCUCUUUCUAGUAUAGUUGUAUAUGUUCUCGUAGUAAUGUAAUGUAUAUGUUCUCAUAGUAAUGUAAUGUAUUGACUCAUGUAUGAAUUGACUCAUUGAUCUAGAUAUUAUAAUAGUAUGAUCCUGUGUUACCCCGAUGGUAACUUACUAAUGAUGUACUGAUAAGUAUGAAUAAAGGAGUACUUUUAUGUCUAUAUAUGUACAUUUGAUAUAUAAUUAAUAUUGAAACGACCUUCGGAGGGCUACCCGAAAUCCCACCAGACCACAUCUCAAGCGCGAAAAGGAAAUAGGGCGGAUGGCCUUCCUAAGCCCUUUAAACAUUGCUUAUAUAUCUAUACAUAUAUGGGCAUGCAAUUUAUAAGAAGUAUAACAAAGUUUAAAUAAAGGUAUUUGAUAAGUAAAAGAGUUUGUAAAACAUUUUGAAGUAAAACAGUUUGAUAAACAGUUUGAACAGUGAUAAAAUCAUUGGUUUUCUAGUUAUUAAUCACAUGUGAUUUAAUGUAAUCACAUUUGAUUGAUGCAAUAAUUAUAAGAAUUUAACUUGUAUUCCGCCCAUAAAAGUAUUUAAAACAUUGAAAAGUGCUUCAAAGGUUAAUUAAAGGGGUAUGAACUCACUUGUGGUGAGUGGUUUGGAUUGUAGUGUCGGAUACCGUGCUAGGUGGCAAACGGAGACUUGUUCACACGCACGAGCCUAGUUAUCAUAUAAUGAGCAUAUAUAUAACUAAUUAGCCAAAUAAUAACUUAAUGAAAUAAGUUGGGACACUUAGGAACAUGUAAACACUUUGUAUAAGUGUUAUAGGUCCUAAUGGUUGCAUCUAAGUUGUUAUGGGACAAGCUAAAGGGGUUUAAAGCUUCCAAGGACCUUGUAUAAGAGUUUACUACCCAACAAACACCACCCAAGGAGUUUACGGUCGUAAACCCUUGAUUUUACGGCCGUGAACUCCAAUCUUGGUGGUUUUGGGUGUUUUAAUGUGCUAAAUGAUUUCUAGAAUAAGCCUAGCUUGGUGGUUUAAUCCUUUGGGUAGUUUAGGGCAUAGAUUAUACUCCUUUGAGGAGUUUACGGCCAAAAGACCAUAUCCCUUAGGGUUUAUGGCCAUAAACUCUCAUGGGGUGGAUGUUUUAAUUCUUUCAAGUCUCUUUCACAAGUAGGAUAAUUUCUAGGAUUUUGAUUUAGGCUAAGGGGGACCCUAGGCACACUUUGGUGCCCUUACAUGGUGUUUACGGCCCAAGAGCAUUUCUUGGCCGUAAUCUCCCUUUUAGGGGUGUUUUUGAUGUGUUAAUGUCCCCAUUUUAGCUACAAGUAAUUGAGGGUUAAAGUCUAAAGCCUUUGGGGGUGAUUAGGGCACAUUUAAGCCCUUGAAAUUGGUGUUUACGGUCCAAGAAUCUCUUGGGCCGUAAACUACCUAAGCUAUGUGUUCUUGAUUGAUUUCUAGCCUCAAAUGAUCAUACAUAUUAUCCUAAGCUAGUUAGCUAACAAGGAAACGGGACUAGAUAGCCUUAAAGCUUCAUUUUGGAGUUUACUCCCCAAGAACGUUCUUGGGCGGUAAACUCCCGGAUCUCACAUAUUUGACUUGUAAUUUAUGUUAUUAAGCAUAUAACAAGCAUUAUAACACAACUAGAGAAGUGUACUCACGAUUUGGGAUGAAAACCCGAAGAUCCGUGAGAGAGAAUAUGGCUUUUCUCUAGUUGGAAAUGUGAAUAAUGAAUGAAUUUAGUUCAGAAAUCUAUUUAUAGUCCUGAAAUAUUUUGGCAGAAAAUAUUUUUAUUCCGGAAUUGGACUCUAACAUUAUGAAGUUUUGAAAUGCUCAAGUUUCACAAACCCAUGAGCAUCCACUCUCCUGAUAUCUCCUUAAACGUAAACCCUAAUGUACACAAACUUAUUCGGAAAAGUCUGAAGUUCAUUGAAACUGGACUAGCUUCUAUUGAAUAGUUAAUGUUUGUACAAAAUAGAAAUUCCGGGUUGUCACAUCAUCCCCCCGUUAGAAGGAAUUUCGUCCCGAAAUUAGAAUUUAAGCAAAAAAGAAGUUUCAAACAAUUAAGCGAAAAGAUGAGGGUAUUUCAGUUGGGCCGCCUGAAUUUGCUUAGGCAAGUGUGAAUGGAUGGUUAUUGACAAUGACUUGACUUUGCGACCAGAAUAUUCUUUCUGACUUAGGGCGUCUGCUACUACGUUGGCCUUACCCGGAUGAUAACGAAUAUCGCAUUCGUAGUCACUGAGUAGCUCGACCCACCGUCGUUGUCUCAUGUUGAGCUCCUUCUGAUCGAAAAUGUGUUGUAAACUCUUGUGGUCGGUAAAGAUAGUGCUUUUCGUUCCGUACAAGUAAUGUCUCCAGAUCUUCAGAGCAAACACCACUGCUCCUAGUUCGAGAUCGUGGGUCGUGUAGUUAACUUCGUGUGUCUUCAACUGUCUGGAGGCGUAGGCGAUGACCUUACCUCGUUGCAUCAGAACACACCCGAGCCCUUGAUUUGAUGCAUCGCAAUAGACUACGAAGUCUUCUAUCCCUUCGGGGAGGGAUAGUAUUGGCGCGGUGCACAAGGCUCGUUUGAGCGUUUGGAACGCUCUCUCUUGUUUUUCUUCCCAGUCAAAGGCCACGCCUUUAUUGGUCAGGGUUGUAAGAGGUUUCGCUAUUCGGGAGAAGUUCUGUAUGAAUCUGCGGUAGUAGCCAGCGAGACCUAGAAAUUGACGAAUUUUAGUAGGUGUCUUCGGUGCUGACCAGUUCUCAAUGGCCUUAAUUUUGGAUGGGUCCACGUGGAUUCCCUCUUCGCUUACCACGUGUCCUAAGAAUUCGACUCUUCGGAUCCAAAAUUCACAUUUCGAGAACUUCGCAUAAAGUUUCUCCUUUCGUAAUGUCCCUAGAACUUGUCGCAGAUGAUCGCCAUGCUCUUCCUUACUUCGGGAGUAGAUCAGGAUGUCGUCAAUGAAAACGAUGACGAACUGAUCCAAGUAAGGUCGGCAUACUCUAUUCAUCAGAUCCAUGAAGACUGCAGGCGCAUUGGUCAAUCCGAAUGGCAUCACCACGAACUCGUAAUGUCCGUAACGAGUUCGGAAGGCUGUCUUCGGCACAUCCUCCUCUAGCACUCGUAACUGGUGAUACCCGGAUCUCAGAUCAAUCUUAGAAAAAUAGUUCGCCCCUUGCAGUUGGUCGAAUAGAUCAUCUAUGCGUGGUAGAGGAUAACGAUUCUUGACCGUCAGUUUGUUGAGUUCUCUGUAGUCAAUACACAUACGGAAGGAUCCGUCCUUCUUCUUAACAAACAAGACCGGUGCUCCCCAAGGUGAGAAACUUGGUCUUAUAAAGCCCUUGCUGAGCAGUUCAUUAAGUUGACCAGAGAGUUCCUGCAUCUCAGCUGGUGCUAAGCGGUAGGGCGACUUGGCUACUGGGGUAGCUCCUGGGACUAAGUCAAUUCUGAACUCGACCUGUCGUUGCAGAGGUAAUCCAGGUAGCUCUUGUGGGAAAAUGUCGGGGAAGUCGCGCACUACUGGGAUGUUCUUUAGUUCUUUCGUUUCGAGGCUCGUGUCGACGAUGUGAGCAAGGAAUGCAUGGUAUUCUUUACGCAAAUACUUCUGCGCUUGAAUACUUGAUAUUAGACGAAGACUCGCACCGGGUUUGUCGCCGUAGACUAUAAGAGUUUCGUUAGAUGGGAGGUUUAGACAGACUGCUUUCUCGAAGAAAAUGUUGUCGGCGCGAUGAAGACUUAACCAAUCCAUGCCGAUGAUAAUGUCGAAGCUUUUAAUUGAGACUGGCAUGAGGUCGAUUGGGAAUGAAUGGUUAUCUAGAGUUAAGGUACAACCUAAGUAGAUGCUAUUCGUACUUUCAGUUUUCCCAUUAUCCAUUUCUAUUGGGAAUAGUUCCUUAAGUGUGUGUGGUUGUUGCUUAAGCAUGCGAGCAAAUUUAUGGUUUACGAAGUUUCGCUCCGCUCCACUAUCGAACAGAAUGCAUGCAUAGGAGUUAUCGAGGAGGAACGUACCAGUCACCAAUGUCGGGUCAACAACUACUUCCCCGUGGCCUAUAGCUAGUACCCUCCCUGCUCCUCCAACAUUCUUCGCUUUGGGGUAGUCCCUCUUAAAGUGGCCUACUUCGCCACACCCAUAACAGGUCGGGCUCGCGCCAGAGUCGGGGACAUGGGUGAUCGGUUUCGUCGGGAACUUACAAAAACGGACUGUGUGUCCUUUCCUGUUGCAGUUAGAGCACUGCAUUUCACGUCAGGGGCCGUUGUGGUGGAAGUUGCAUUUGUUGCACUUAGGAAAACUUCCAGCAUACUGUCCCACCGGAGCAGUAACAUGGGUUAUCGCGGCAUGCACAGCCACAAUUUGCUGCUUUUUAGCAGCCCGCUGUCUCUUCUUUUCUUCCCAGAAUUUCCGCUUAGUGUCAGCGGGUUUGGAGGGUUCCGGGAUGGUUAGGGUGGCUGUUGUUGUAGGGGUUUUGACUCCAUGGUCAAUGAGUCGCUGUGCCAGUCGCUUGGCACUGUCGAAGGUAGCGGGGUUUGAUGCUAGGACAUUCCCCUGAUACGGAGGCACUAGCCCCCAUAUGUACCUUUCGAUCUUUUUCCCUUCAGUGGGAACCAUAUUGGGGCAGAGGGCCACCAGUUCGCUGAAUCGGGCAGUAUAAGCGACCACGUUGGUGCCCUUCAUAGUCAGGUUCCAAAGUUCCUGCUCCAAUUUCUGGACUUCGCCCCUCGGGCAGUAUUCCUCAAUCAUGAGGUCUUUCAUCGUUUCCCAGCCCAUGUCGUUGGCUACGACGAGGGUUAGAGCUUUAACGUGGCCGUUCCACCACGUCAGGGCUUUUCCUUCAAAGGUGCAUGCGGCAUAUUUGACUUUGCUCGCAGCAGGGCAUGAACAGAUUUCGAAGACUGAUUCAGUCUUCUCGAACCAUUGCGAGAGGGCAAUGACUCCGCCGGUGCCAUGGAAGGACUUCGGCUUGCAAUUGGUGAAAUCCUUGUAGGAGCACUCUCUCGAGCGCACAGGGGUUUCAACCGGAAUUGAUUCAACAGGGGUUCCACCUCUGCUGGCAUCAGAUGAGUGAUACUGAGCCAUGGCAGUUGCCACUGCUGCAGCUACGGCAGCAUUCAGGGCUGCAGUAUCGAUGACCGGAGGCGGAGGAGGCGGUGGAGGUGCAGGGUUAUUCCUGGGAGAUUUGCGAGGAGGCAUCUUUCAGCUAUAAGUUUAUAAAGAUAAGAAAAAUGGUAAGAAUCAAUUUGUAAGCAACGUGAGAGUGACACAUGGACUAACUAACCAUAGCCCAACAGUUGAAUGAGUGUUUGAGAUCACAACAAAGAAUAUUAGUAGGAAACACAAAUGUACAGAUUUUUCCCACAGAUUCGAUAGAUGUCAAUAAUACUGGUAUUACUGAUGUAAUAAGUUCAGGGAAAAUCGACCUAUCAGUAGGUCUUACAUCAUACCAUACAGAAAAGUUUGACAGUUCUUAGAUUCCUAAAUAGAGUACUGAAAGUUAGGAAUAUUUUACAGACAAGUGCUACUUAGAGCACAGAUGUUAAAGGCUAUUCCUUAACCAAAAGACAGAGAUGUACUAGACAUCAUCUAACGGCGAUGGGAAUUCCUCGGGCGAGCCCUGAGGUCUGACACUUGACGAAACACCUCUUGAAGGUGUCGCUCCUGAGCCCUCUGACGGGCUCGAAGUUCCAAGACUUCAGCUCGGGAGGCAGCCAGCUGUUGCUGCAGGGUUUCAUUGGUUCUCCGGGUCCGUUCCAUGUCUUCUUCAAGACGGCGGAUGCGGACUGUGUUGACACCAGAGUUGGCAUCAAUCUCCAUGACCCGGUCGAUGGCUGCUCGACCUUGCUCAACAUUACGAGCUAUUCUGCGGAUAAUGACGGGCAGAGCUCGGUCAGCAGAACCACCUUCACUGACGUUGUAAAAGCUUCGGUCCCCAAAGUAUGGUAAGGGUUGACCCUGUUCGUCACUCCAGCGAUUCAAGUUGGUUGCCCACAAGGGAGUAGGACCUGGAAAAGCUGGUCGGGGGUUGUUGUUCGGGGCUUGACCUACUAGCGGUAGGUUGUUGACUUCAGGCUCGGAGUCAGAUCCAUCAGAAAAGCCUUCUGCGAGGUGAUCAUCCAAAGGGAUUGGAUGCUCAUCUUCGGGCUCUUCUUCGAUCCACCCGGCAUUGCCUUCAUUUGGAAAGUACGGGUCGCCGUGAUGGAAUCCAGCCAUUUAAAUCUACGCGAGAAGAGAGGUAUAAGAAUAUAGUAUACAUGUAACUAGUAGUACAAAAUACACCUAUAGUAUUUUAAGUUUAAGUUCUACUGAUCUUCUUGUGGUAUUGUUGGUAAGUUUUUAGACUUGUUAACACAUCACAACCAUUCUAGGGCAUAUGCUAAUCACUCCUAGGACCAGCAUAGUUGAUCAGGCUAUGCCAUUCCCAGGACUGACCAUACAUCCCCGAGCUCACUUGUGAUAUUUAACAAUCGUAAUACUUUUGUUCUUGUCAUUGUGACACUGAUUUUAGUAUGAAUGCAGACUAGUAUACUUAAUUAAAUAUUUUAAUAUUUAAAGUAUAGACUCUUGGUCAGAGUGCUUUAAUCCCUAAUGGGUUUAUAGUUUAGUAUAUCUUUUAUGGGUUGAUAUACUUGAUUCACUAUAAACAAUGCUCUGAUACCAAUCUGUCACACCCCAAAACCAAGAACGGCGGAAACGUUCUGGGGCGGAGGACGUCAUGUAAAGUAUCACAACACAGUAAAUGUAAAUAAGCAAACAACAUCAUCCAUUGCAUUAAAUAUAUAAUUUUAAUACAAGUGUGUUCUGUACAGUUUUAGACACCAAAAAUAUAAGGUAAAUCAAAAUAAUAAUAUGAUGAGUCUUGAAUGCGCUCCAUCUUCUCAAAAGCUGGCAUCGGUACCUGUCUACUGAUGACCUGAGAAUACAAGUUAUUUUGAAAGAGUUUAUCAGCAUUAAGCUGGUGAGUUCAUAAGUAUUUUAGUGUCGAUGUUUGUUAUCAAAACGUUUGAACGUGUCUCAAGUAUAAGUUUGUAAAAUGUAUGUAAGUGUUUGUAAAAGUUUGAAUCUCUCAGAAAAACCUAUAUUUUCUAUUAAAGUAGCCUUCUACCAAGGCUUAACUGUUUUGUAUGCUCGUUUGUUGUAAAAGUGUGUAAUUUCCCAAGUGUAACUAUCAUUUAACAAAAUAUAGUUUGUACAUUAAUGUUUAAGUGAAAUAAUCACUAAAUAUAUGUAAUGGGUAAAUUAUUGUAGUACUGUAGUGUUGUAUUAUAGGAACUACUGCUGUACUAACUACCUUAAACCGGAUUUAUAUUAAGGUAUCAUGUGAUUAAUUGCACCAUACUAUCGACUGGUAACAACGACAUACGAAUGGUCGUAAUAACGGAAUGACGUUUGGCACCCGCAGACCUGCAGGUCCGGCUGUAGCUAGCAGCAAGGUGUAGGAUAGUCAAUCCAGUAUAGAUCUAUACGCAAACUCACGCUCUCCCUCCAAGAGAAUUCUGGCUACAACUCGGGCCAUGACAUUUAAGGCAUGCUCCGAUACAGUGGAUCACAAUUGUUAACGUAUUCAUGUAUAUGUAAUGUAUUGUUACUUGUUCUAGUAUCGUUGUAUAUGUUCUCUUCCUAGUAUAGUUGUAUAUGUUCUCUUUCUAGUAUAGUUGUAUAUGUUCUCUUUCUAGUAUAGUUGUAUAUGUUCUCUUUCUAGUAUAGUUGUAUAUGUUCUCUUUCUAGUAUAGUUGUAUAUGUUCUCUUUCUAGUAUAGUUGUAUAUGUUCUCUUUCUAGUAUAGUUGUAUAUGUUCUCUUUCUAGUAUAGUUGUAUAUGUUCUCUUUCUAGUAUAGUUGUAUAUGUUCUCUUAGUAGUAUAGUUGUAUAUGUUCUCUUCCUAGUAUAGUUGUAUAUGUUCUCUUUCUAGUAUAGUUGUAUAUGUUCUCUUUCUAGUAUAGUUGUAUAUGUUCUCUUUCUAGUAUAGUUGUAUAUGUUCUCUUUCUAGUAUAGUUGUAUAUGUUCUUAUAGUAAUGUAAUGUAUAGACUCAUGAAUGAACUGACUCAUUGAUCUAGAAGUUGUAGUAGUAUGAUCCUGUGUUACCCCGAUGGUAACUUACUAAUGAUGUGUAUAGUACGCAUGAAUAUGGAAGUACUUUUAUGUCUAUAUAUGUAUAUUUGAUAUAUAAUUAAUAUUGAAACGACCUUCGGACGGUUACCCGAAAUCCCACCAGACCACAUCCAAAUCGAGAAAAAGGAAAUAGGGCGGAUGGCCUUCCUAAGCCCUUUAAACAUUACUUAUAUAUCUAUACAUAUAUGGGCAUGCAAUUUAUAAGAAGUAAAACAAAGUUUAAUAAAAGCAUUUGAUAAGUAAAAGAGUUUGUAAAACAUUUUGAAGUAAAACAGUUUGAUAAACAGUUUGAACAGUGAUAAAAUCAUUGGUUUUCUAGUUAUUAAUCACAUGUGAUUAAUGCAAUCACAUGUGAUUGAUGCAAUAACUAUAAGUAUUUAACUUGUAUUCCCCCCAUAAAGUAUUUAAAACAUUUAAAAGCAUUUCAAAGGUUAAUUAAAGGGGUAUGAACUCACUUGUGGUGAGUGGAUUGGAUUGAAGUGUCGGAUAUCGUGCUAGGUGGCAAACGGAGACUUGUUCACACGCACGAGCCUAGUUAUCAUAUAAUGAGCAUAUAUAUAACUAAUUAGCCAAAUAAUAACUUAAUGAAAUAAGUUGGGACACUUAGGAACAUGUAAACACUUUGUAUAAGUGUUAUAGGUCCUAAUGGUUGCAUCUAAGUUGUUAUGGGACAAGCUAAAGGGGUUUAAAGCUUCCAAGGACCUUGUAUAAGAGUUUACUACCCAAUAAACCCCACCCAAGGAGUUUACGGUCGUAAACCCUUGAGUUUACGGCCGUGAACUCCAAUCUUGGUGGUUUUGGGUGUUUUAAGGUGCUAAAUGAUUUCUAGAAUAAGCCUAGCUUGGUGGUUUAAUCCUUUGGGUAGUUUAGGGCAUAGAUUAUACUCCUUUGAGGAGUUUAUGGCCAAAAGACCAUAUCCCUAAGAGUUUACGGCCGUAAACUCUCGUGGGGUGGAUGUUUUAAUUCUUUCAAGUCUCUUGCACAAGUAGGAUAAUUUCUAGGCUUUUGAUUUAGGCUAAGGGGGACCCUAGGCACACUUUGGUGCCCUUACAUGGUGUUUACGACCCAAGAGCAUUUCUUGGCGGUAAACUCCCUUUUUGGGGUGUUUUUGAUGUGUUAAUGUCCCCAUUUUAGCUACAAGUAAUUGAGGGUUAAAGUCUAAAGCCUUUGGGGGUGAUUAGGGCACAUUUAAGCCCUUGAAAUUGGUGUUUACGUUCCAAGAAACUCUUGGGCCGUAAACUCCCUAAGCUAUGUGUUUUUGAUUGAUUUCUAGCCUCAAAUGAUCAUACAUAUUAUCCUAAGCUAGUUACCUAACAAGGAAAUGGGACUAGAUAGCCUUAAAGCUUCAUUUUGGAGUUUACUCCCCAAGAACGUUCUUGGGCGGUAAACUCCCAGAUCUCACAUAUUUGACAUGUAAUAUAUGUUAUUAAGCAUAUAACAAGCAUUAUAACACAACUAGAGAAGUGUACUCACGAUUUGGGAUGAAAACCCGAAGAUCCGUGAGAGAGAAAAUGGCUUUUCUCUAGUUGGAAAUGUGAAUAAUGAAUGAAUUUAGUUCAGAAAUCUAUUUAUAGUCCUGAAAUAUUUUUGGCAGAAAAUAUUUUUAUUCUGGAAUUGGACUCUAACAUUAUGAAGUUUUGAAAUGCCCAAGUUUCACGAACCCAAGAGCAUCCACUCUCCUGAUAUCUCCUUAAACGUAAACCCUAAUGUACACAAACUUAUUCGGAAAAGCCUGAAAUUCAUUGAAACUGGACUAGCUUCUAUUGAAUAGUUAAUGUUCGUACAAAAUGGAAAUUUCGGGUUGUCACACACUCCCAUUCAUGCUUCGUAUUGAGUACUGUUGGGUCAAAAAUAUUGUUUAUACUUUUGUUUUCAAGGAAAAUAUAUUUUUAUAUAAUGUUGUAUGUGUUUGCGGUUUGUGUGUACGGCCGUACACGUGUGUACGGCCGCACCCCCUGUGUGCGGCCGUACACAGGGUGUGCGGCUGUACACAUGUGUAUGGCCGGAGGUCCAUAAAAAUAAAGGAGUGCAUGUGAGUGUACGGUUGAGAAAAAGAAAGAGGCUAGAAGGCUAAAGAAGAGAGAGAAAGUUAGAGAUAAGAAGUGUGUGUGAGAGAGAGAAUCUAUUGUAAGGAGCAUCAAUCAUAUCAUCAAUACAUUAUAUUCAUCUUAAUUCUUCUUCUCCUUCUCUUCUAUUUGAUCUGACAUCAUCCAAUUAAUUAGGAUUCCACACCAUCAAUUAGAUCUGAUUGGUACACAAGCAAUUUUGGGGACUUACAAUUGGUAUCAGAGCAUGUUAAACAAGAAAUUUUUUUAUCAUUGGAAAAUAAUUGAACAUGUUGAAUUUCUGUCGUGGGAGAAUCAUUGGAAAAUCAAUUGCAAAGAUUAAUCACACUAACCACUGAAAUGAGCUCCGCAGGUGUGAUGGUUACAAGGUCUGAAAUCAACAAGAAAUUACUAAAUUCUCUUCCAAAAUCAUGGGACAUAAAUGUCUCAGUGAUUAAAAAGACAAAAGACCUGAACCGUUUAAGCUUGUCUGAAACAAUGGCAAUCAUCAUAGCUUGCGAUCUUGAUGAUAAACAAAGAGAGCAUACCAAAUCCGGUGGAGAGCAGAGAGAGAGUGAACGGAGGUGGUGGUGUGGUGUGGUGCACAAAGGUCUCCGGUCGGAGGAGGUGAGCCGUGAUCGGUCUGGCGAACGACAGAGAAGAUAGGGAGAGCGUACGCAGAUCAUGAGGUGAAAGAAACCCCUAAAUCAUGGACGCAAGACGGAAUGUCACCAAACGAGGGUUUAUUAGGUACACAUUUCUUCUACUUCUGAUACUCGUGACCCUUUCUUUUAUCGCCAUCUUCAACCACACCCAAUUCCAAAACAUAACUUCAUUCUUACGACCACUUUGGGACACACCGCCACCUCCAUUUCAGUACAUACCCCAUUAUUACGUAGAAAACGCCUCCAUCAACAACAUCUGCAACCUCCAUGGAUGGACCUUAAGCUCUG
rnacentral:lncRNA from 1 species